rnacentral:rRNA from 1 species
UACGGAGGGUGCAAGCGUUGUCCGGAUUUAUUGGGUUUAAAGGGUGCGUAGGUGGAACUGUAAGUCUGAUUUGAAAGCAGGCGGCUUAACCGUCUGAUGUGGUUGGAAACUGUGGUUCUUGAAUGGGUUGGCGGUAGCCGGAAUGGGUCAUGUAGCGGUGAAAUGCAUAGAUAUGACCCGGAACACCGAUUGCGAAGGCAGGCUACUACGACUUGAUUGACACUGAGGCACGAGAGCAUGGGUAGCGAACAGG